UUUCUCUGCUUGCUUGUGUGACGUCACGAGGUACAGAUAAAACCAGGAGGUGUUCCGGAGACGCUCCAGUUUCUCUCCAGCAACCAGGUGUGUCGGGUGGCAGGUUUUCCGUUUUCUGUGCUGAAGGACACAAGAAAAUGAUGCGAGGAACCGUGGUGGUGGCGAUGGUGGCGGUGAUGGUGCUGAUGGUGACGGGGCAGCCCCAGGAGCGACAUAACUGCCCCGGGGUCUGCACCCUCGAGUACAACCCUG